rnacentral:rRNA from 1 species
GACGAACGCUGGCGGCGUGCUUAACACAUGCAAGUCGAACGGAAAGGCCCUGCUUUUGUGGGGUGCUCGAGUGGCGAACGGGUGAGUAACACGUGAGUAACCUGCCCUUGACUUUGGGAUAACUUCAGGAAACUGGGGCUAAUACCGGAUAGGAGCUCCUGCUGCAUGGUGGGGGUUGGAAAGUUUCGGCGGUUGGGGAUGGACUCGCGGCUUAUCAGCUUGUUGGUGGGGUAGUGGCUUACCAAGGCUUUGACGGGUAGACGGCCUGAGAGGGUGACCGGCGACAUUGGGACUGAGAUACGGCCCAGACUCCAACGGUAGGCAGCAGUGGGGAAUAUGGCACAAUGGGCGGAAGCCUGAUGCAGCAACGCCGCGGGCGGGAUGACGGCCUUCGGGUUGUAAACCGCUUUCGCCUGUGACGAAGCGUGAGUGACGGUAAUGGGUAAAGAAGCACCGGCUAACUACGUG